rnacentral:lncRNA from 1 species
UCUGAGGCCCCAGGGUGGUUGAAAGUUCAGGAAGGCUGGGAUGGGGACGUUAGCUGCAGGCCACCGCACUGAAGAGGCUGAUUUAGGCCCCGGUGGUCCCCCCGAGUCACGGCCACCCUCCUGAUGAGGUGCAGCAGGCAUGAACCCUUGGGCCCACCAUCCUUUCAGGGGGCUGGGGAAAUAUUUUACCUUUAAAACAGAAGAAAAUGAACUUUUACCUGGAAGGGUCUCUGAAAAUCAGGAGGAAACUUCAUGACACAUAGAGAAAAGUCCAGAGUUUAAAUCUUUGCUCCUGUGUGAUCUUGGGCAACUUUCUAAACCUCUCUGAGGCCACGGAUACCAGCUCUUUGCCAGGUUAAAUGAGAUAUUACAUGUCAGCUACAUACCUGGAACGUAGUUAGAACUCCUUUUUUUUUUUUCUUUUUUUUGAGAUGGAGUCUCGCUCUGUUGCCCAGGCUGGAGUAUAGUGGCACAAUCUCCACUCACUGCAACCUCCGCCUCCAGGGUGCAAGUGAUUCU